AAUCGAGAGUUUGAUCCUGGCUCAGGACGAACGCUGGCGGCGUGCCUAAUACAUGCAAGUCGAACGCACUCUCGUUUAGAUUGAAGGAGCUUGCUCCUGAUUGAUAAACAUUUGAGUGAGUGGCGGACGGGUGAGUAACACGUGGGUAACCUGCCCUAAAGUGGGGGAUAACAUUUGGAAACAGAUGCUAAUACCGCAUAAAACCUAACACCGCAUGGUGUAGGGUUGAAAGAUGGUUUCGGCUAUCACUUUAGGAUGGACCCGCGGUGCAUUAGUUAGUUGGUGAGGUAAAGGCUCACCAAGACCGUGAUGCAUAGCCGACCUGAGAGGGUAAUCGGCCACACUGGGACUGAGACACGGCCCAGACUCCUACGGGAGGCAGCAGUAGGGAAUCUUCCACAAUGGACGAAAGUCUGAUGGAGCAACGCCGCGUGAGUGAAGAAGGUUUUCGGAUCGUAAAACUCUGUUGUUGGA
rnacentral:rRNA from 2 species